rnacentral:rRNA from 1 species
UACAGAGGGUGCGAGCGUUGUUCGGAAUUACUGGGCGUAAAGCGCGCGCAGGCGGCUCCUUAAGUCCGUCGGUGAAAGACCGGGGCUCAACCCCGUGUCAGCCAUGGAUACUGGGGAGCUGGAGACAGGUAGAGGCAAGCGGAAUUCCGGGUGUAGCGGUGGAAAUGCGUAGAGAUCCGGGAAGAACACCGGUGGCGAAGGCGGCCUGCUGG